rnacentral:rRNA from 1 species
UUCCCUACGGGGGGCAGCAGUGAGGAAUAUUGGUCAAUGGCCGGAAGGCUGAACCAGCCAAGCCGCGUGAAGGACGAAGGUGCCAAGCAUUGUAAACUUCUUUUGUCAAGGGACAAAAUCAGGCUCGAGAGCCUGACCGAGGGUACUUGAAGAAAAAGCAUCGGCUAACUCCGUGCCAGCAGCCGCGGUAAUACGGAGGGUGCAAGCGUUACUCGUAAUCACUGGGCGUAAAGAGCGCGUAGGCGGGAUAGCAAGUCAGAUGUGAAAUCCUAUGGCUUAACCAUAGAACUGCAUUUGAAACUGUU